rnacentral:rRNA from 1 species
GAUCCUGGCUCAGGAUGAACGCUAGCGGCAGGCUUAACACAUGCAAGUCGAGGGGCAGCAUAAUGGUAGUAAUACUAUUGAUGGCGACCGGCGGACGGGUGCGUAACGCGUAUGCAACCUACCCUUUACAGGGGGAUAACACUGAGAAAUCGGUACUAAUACCCCAUAAUAUUCUGGGAGGCAUCUUUUCGGAGUUGAAAGCUUUGGUGGUAAAGGAUGGGCAUGCGUUGUAUUAGCUAGUUGGUAAGGUAACGG